CUCCAUUUUAAAAGCUCUCAAUAGGUCUUUUGCUAAUGACCCAUAGAGCCAUAAAGAAAGGGCAGAUUUUUGCUGUGAGCUAUGAUGCCAAGG
rnacentral:snoRNA from 1 species